rnacentral:rRNA from 1 species
UAGGCGAACGGGUGAGUAACACUGGGCAACCUGCCCAAAANAGGGGGAUAACACUUGGAAACAGGUGCUAAUACCGCAUAACCAUAGUUACCGCAUGGUAACUAUGUAAAAGGUGGCGUAUGCUACCGCUUUUGGAUGGGCCCGCGGCGCAUUAGCUAGUUGGUGGGGUAAAGGCUUACCAAGGCAAUGAUGCGUAGCCGAACUGAGAGGUUGAUCGGCCACAUUGGGACUGAGACACGGCCCAAACUCCUACGGAAGGCAGCAG